CAUUCAUGGAGCUUGUUGAUGAGAAUAAACUGAAGCACUGUUAAAUUAAGUCAUUUGUCCAAAUAUGCAGAAAUAAGAAAUGACAGAACUUGGUUUCUUAACUACAAUAUUCUAAACUACCUUCAACAAAUGGGAAGAUAAUGGCUUAUAGCAGGGAACAAAGUUUGUCAUCCAGAUCUUUAAUGAUGCCCAUAAGGAAACAUCCACAUCCUUUGGUUAAAAGACUGAAUUUUCAAGGAUCUCUGGGUGUCUGAAGGAGGCCAUCAUUGUUCUGAUGAAGUGUAAGGCUCGGUUUAUUUGACUGGGCACUCCACAGAGGGCCUGAACCUGCUGAGCACAUUGAUCUAAGGACAGACAGCAGUGGGACUCUGGAAGGUGUAACUCCAGCAGCAGACGAGGUAUUGAUGAAUGCUUGCUGAUGAAGGAGUCCUCUUCAUCUCUUAAUAUGUAUUCUGAGUUGUUACCUGGAAUAAAUUCUAUUAUUUCUAAUUAA